rnacentral:rRNA from 1 species
GAUGAACGCUGGCGGCGUGCCUAAUACAUGCAAGUCGAGCGAACAGAUGAGGAGCUUGCUCCUCUGACGUUAGCGGCGGACGGGUGAGUAACACGUGGAUAACCUACCUAUAAGACUGGGAUAACUUCGGGAAACCGGAGCUAAUACCGGAUAAUAUAUUGAACCGCAUGGUUCAAUAGUGAAAGACGGUUUUGCUGUCACUUUUAGAUGGAUCCGCGCCGCAUUAGCUAGUUGGUAAGGUAACGGCUUACCAAGGCAACGAUGCGUAGCCGACCUGAGAGGGUGAUCAGCCACACUGGAACUGAGACACGGUCCAGACUCCUACGGGAGGCAGCAGUAGGGAAUCUUCCGCAAUGGGCGAAAGCCUGACGGAGCAACGCCGCGUGAGUGAUGAAGGUCUUCGGAUCGUAAAACUCUGUUAUUAGGGAAGAACAAAUGUGUAAGUAACUAUGCACGUCUUGACGGUACCUAAUCAGAAAGCCACGGCUAACUUCGUG